UACGUAGGGGCCGAGCGUUGUCCGGAGUUAUUGGGCGUAAAGCGCGCGCAGGCGGCUUCGCGCGCCCGACGUGAAAGCCCCCGGCUUAACCGGGGAGAGUCGUUGGGGACGGCGGAGCUUGAGGGCGGGAGAGGUCGGUGGAAUUCCCGGUGUAGCGGUGAAAUGCGCAGAUAUCGGGAGGAACACCGGUGGCGAAGGCGGUUCUCUGGGCCGAUACUGACGCUGAGGAGCGAAAGCGUGGGGAGCGAACAGG
rnacentral:rRNA from 1 species